UCUUAUCAAGAGUGGUGGAGGGACUGGCCCUUUGAAGCCCAGCAACCAAUAUAAUAGUUCAUUUACUAUUUUACUAUGGUGCUAAAUCCUGCGGUAAAUUUUUUAAAUUACUGAAAGAUGAGA
rnacentral:ncRNA from 1 species